GGUCAAACUCGGUCAUUUAGAGGAAGUAAAGGUCGUAACAAGGUUUCCGUAGGUGAACCUG
rnacentral:rRNA from 1 species